rnacentral:ncRNA from 2 species
CCCGGUGCGAUUCCGGGGCGGUCCCGCCACUGUGACCGGCCAGCGGGCCGGGAGCCAGA